AGAGUUUGAUCCUGGCUCAGAUUGAACGCUGGCGGAACGCUUUACACAUGCAAGUCGAACGGUAACGCGGAGAGAAGCUUGCUUCUCUCCGGCGACGAGUGGCGAACGGGUGAGUAAUACAUCGGAACGUGUCCGCUCGUGGGGGACAACCAGCCGAAAGGUUGGCUAAUACCGCAUGAGUUCUACGGAAGAAAGAGGGGGACCCGCAAGGGCCUCUCGCGAGCGGAGCGGCCGAUGACUGAUUAGCCGGUUGGUGAGGUAACGGCUCACCAAAGCAACGAUCAGUAGCUGGUCUGAGAGGACGACCAGCCACACUGGGACUGAGACACGGCCCAGACUCCUACGGGAGGCAGCAGUGGGGAAUUUUGGACAAUGGGCGCAAGCCUGAUCCAGCUAUUCCGCGUGUGGGAUGAAGGCCCUCGGGUUGUAAACCACUUUUGUAGAGAACGAAAAGACACCUUCGAAUAAAGGGUGUUGCUGACGGUACUCUAAGAAUAAGCACCGGCUAACUACGUGCCAGCAGCCGCGGUAAUACGUAGGGUGCGAGCGUUAAUCGGAAUUACUGGGCGUAAAGGGUGCGCAGGCGGUUGAGUAAGACAGAUGUGAAAUCCCCGAGCUUAACUCGGGAAUGGCAUAUGUGACUGCUCGACUAGAGUGUGUCAGAGGGAGGUGGAAUUCCACGUGUAGCAGUGAAAUGCGUAGAUAUGUGGAAGAACACCGAUGGCGAAGGCAGCCUCCUGGGACAUAACUGACGCUCAGGCACGAAAGCGUGGGGAGCAAACAGGAUUAGAUACCCUGGUAGUCCACGCCCUAAACGAUGUUAACUAGUUGUUGGGAAGUAAUAUUCUCAGUAACGCAGCCAACGCGAGAAGUUAACCGCCUGGGAAGUACGGUCGCAAGACUAAAACUCAAAGGAAUUGACGGGGACCCGCACAAGCGGUGGAUGAUGUGGAUUAAUUCGAUGCAACGCGAAAAACCUUACCUACCCUUGACAUGUCAGGAAGCUCUUGUAAUGAGAGUGUGCCCGCAAGGGAGCCUGAACACAGGUGCUGCAUGGCUGUCGUCAGCUCGUGUCGUGAGAUGUUGGGUUAAGUCCCGCAACGAGCGCAACCCUUGCCUUUAGUUGCCAGCAUUAAGUUGGGCACUCUAGAGGGACUGCCAGGGAUAACCUGGAGGAAGGUGGGGAUGACGUCAAAUCAUCAUGCCCCUUAUGAGCAGGGCUACACACGUGCUACAAUGGCGUAAACAGAGGGAAGCGAAGGAGUGAUCUGGAGCAAAUCUCAAAAAUAACGUCUCAGUUCGGAUUGUAGUCUGCAACUCGACUACAUGAAGCUGG
rnacentral:rRNA from 1 species